CAUCCUGCCCAGAAUGUAAACAAUGAACCCGCCGUUGACUGUAUCUUUGUGCACAUGGCACUGAGAGAGAGCACGUGUAUGUUUGCGCUCAGCACUGGCGUAACGGACAAGCUGCACUUGCUGCACUGCCCUGUUUUAUUUGCCGAUACAGGACAUAAUUAUGGUUUUGUCUUCAACGCCAGGGAAUUUCACAGGAUCACUAAUCAGAAUCUACCAUUCUCCUUCUUUGCUGAACUUGACAAAUAUACACCUCAACUGCUCUAAAAAAAGAGGGAGACUGGAAGUUUUGGUGGGAAGAUGGAAGAAGUUUUGAUGGCAUAUGAGGAACAGGACAUGAACAUCAGUGCAGCUAGAACAGCAGUCCUGGCUAGCCUAGUUAAAAAAGAGAAACCUAAGAGCUAAACAUUGGUAACAAGACAAGACAAACUAGAACUCUCCUAUCAUUAUUUGGAAGGACAAAAUUAAGUGGUCAAUGAAGAAGAGGUGCCAGCAGGAGUCCCUUCGAAACUCAACACGUGGCAAUCAUCCUCGAGGAUCAGGUUGUAAUGUCACAGAUCUUGAUUGGUGAUUUUGUUGGACUGAUCUAUGCUCUCCAUAUGUGAGCUAUCCUGAGAAGCUAAGUGGCCUCUUUGAGUUGUAUUGUAUUUAGUGUAGUUUUUAACUUAAAUGAUGCACUGUACCAGAUUUAGCUUCAAGCUUAUUUUCAUCUUCAGUCCCUUACAAUUAAAACAUAUAAC